CUCUGUUUGGAUUCUGCUGCUGACAGACCAGAACGAGAUCAUCGGCUCUGGGUCUGCAUGAGGCUUUCUGAACUGAUCCCAGAUCUGGCAGCACCAAAAAUGCAGGAGCAGCCUUCUGACAUUCAAGGGCCGAACCCUCCCCUUUAGGAAGAAGAUGAAGCCAGCAAUACAGAGAUCACAUGGGACAUAAGUCUUCUGAUUAAAAGUCUUCUUUUAGAUCAGAUACGUAAAACUAUUUCUCACAGCCCUGGCUAAUGCUCUCAUCAUGAGGACCUUCCCAGGACCUUGCUUGCAGGAGGGAAAUGAGCCAGCUACAAAACUCCUGAAUACUCCAUGAUUAGCCUCUCUGUCUCUUCUUCUGGAACUGUACCACCCACUGCAAAGAGGAUGUGAACAUAAACCUGCCAAUUCCAAGGUGAGUGCUUCUGCAAAAGGCUUUAGAGAGAGGAUCAUUUUCAUCCUGGAAACAUUGCGUGGCAGUGCAGAGAGAGAUGCCGUAAUUUAGAAAAGAC